rnacentral:lncRNA from 1 species
CCUCCUCCUCCUCCUCCUCCUCCCAGGAGCCCCACACACUCACAGCUGCUGCUUCUCACCUCUGCCAAGCUUCCCCAGAGGGCAAGAGCCUGGGAUUCUGGAAGCCCGGCCUAAUCUGGACAAGACCUCAGGUUCUUCAGCUCCUGCUGCUGCUAUUGGGUGAGAGCGGGCUGAGACCAUGAAUUGGCUGUUUUGCAAGACCAGCUCCUUCACUGCAGAGGGUAAGCAGAGAGGGAGCAAGGGGCAGAGGCUGUGGCUGGAACCUUCCCCUACGGAGCCUGUGGCUGAAAGGAUAGUUCUGUUUCGCCAGCUUCCACUUCAGAGGAGGCUGGCAAAUAUGCUGUGACUCCUACCAAGACAGAAAACUCGGAAAUGGAGAACAGGAACAAGACAGAAGUUCCUAUGUGCUGCCUGCCCAGAUCUGAGUGGGCCUUACCAUGAGUGACCCUGGGAACAGGGCCAGAGUCAUACUGACCUGAUGCAAACCAGGGAACCAUCCCCUCAUGUGCUCUGUGUCCAUAGGCAGGUUGCUAGACUUCUCUGAACCUGUUUCCUGACAGUGCCCAUCGUAAAUAGUUCAUGGGAUCAAUAAGGAUGAUGGACGCUAAAACCACAUGCCUGGCACAGACCCACCUCCAAAAGUGAUAGCUUUUAUUAUUCUCGUUAUUCUAGAAAAUGUCUUUGUGAGUUGUUUGCUUGAUGAUUGAAACCAUGUUUCUUUUUAAUAAAAUCUUGAUUUAA